rnacentral:rRNA from 1 species
UACGUAGGUGGCGAGCGUUAUCCGGAAUGAUUGGGCGUAAAGGGUGCGCAGGCGGUCCUGCAAGUCUGGAGUGAAACGUAUGAGCUCAACUCAUGCAUGGCUCUGGAAACUGGAGGGCUGGAGUGCAGGAGAGGUAAGCGGAAUUUCUAGUGUAGCGGUGGAAUGCGUAGAUAUUAGGAAGAACACCGGAGGCGAAGGCGGCUUACUGGACUGUAACUGACGCUGAGGCUCGAAAGCGUGGGGAGCAAACAGG